AUCUCUCUCUCCUGUACCAAAGGAAGAACUAUUGUUUUCUUUUCCUUCAAAUGAAUUUCUCACAUAUCCAUCACCAAAAUGUUCUAAAAUACAAAACCAGCUUGAAAACUCCUAGACUAUAAUUUCCAAGAUCAUUUACCCAGUCUACAGAACCUUCCAAAGUUGUCUAACAUGUAAUUCCAUACCUAUCACUCUUUAAUCUUUGCAUUCAUAUUCUCACAACAAUAAGUAUUUAAUAAAUACAUAUAUUAAGUGCCAUUGUGAUUUUCCUCAUGGCAUAUCUUCUGCCUAGAAUGCCUUCUCUCUCUGUUUGGCUUUCCUAACUCUUAACUGUCUUUUAACAUUCAAGAUUUUGUUAUGAGAUUGUCUCCAACUCCCCAAGGAUAAAUCAGGAAUUUCAGUGUACUUCCAAAACACCUGGACAUGUCUCAAACAUUGUACUAACCUCUUUGUACUAUAAUUGUCUGUUAAUAAAUAUGAUACCAUGACAUGACUCUGGGAUCCUAUAGGGCAAAGACUCUAUCUUCAUCAUCAUUCAGGCCUCAGAGACCAUUUUUAGAGUUUGACACAUAGCAGGGACCUUAGAAAUGUUUGUUUAAUGUGUGGAUGGAUUAAUGGUCUACAAACAAAACAUCCACAUUUUGGGGAUAAAAUAUUUGUUGGUCAAAAUAUACCCACAUCUUUCUCACAACCUCUGCUUGUCUGUCCUGCUAAACCAUUUGACUUAUUCACAUGCAUAAUAAAUCAAGACUUGAUGGCUAGAUUGCAUCUAAUCCAAUUAAUAGUAGCUAUGCAAGCAGGGCUGCUUUUUGGUUAAUGCAAACACUUCAUCUGGCUAAACAAUUCCAGUUGAUGUUAAAAAAAAAGAAUGUACUUUAACAGCUGGUUUAAGGCACCAUCAAAGCUCCAGGCUAUCCCACAUGUUACACUGACUGACUUGAUCCAUCACCACACUCUGCUUUAAGUCAAAACUCCAUCCUGCUACAAAUCCCUUCACCAACACUUCCACAUUGCCCUCAUUUCUGAGUUGGUCUUUGAAUCUAUUUUGCCAUUCAAGCAUGUACUAUUUUGAUAUUUCUCUAUAAAUGUACCUAUCAUAGGGGAAAUAGGGUAUGAAGGCCAUAGAUAGUUGGUAGAGUCUGCUUUAUUCUACCUUCUUUACAUGCAUUAUUUCUAAUUUUACCAACAACACAAGAAAGUUUACAUAAAUCAUAUUAAAGAUAAUAAAACAGAUUUAUACAUGUGAAAUAAUUUUCUUAGUAAUAUAAAACUAGUAGUGGUGGUGGCAGGACUUGAACACAAAUGUAUCUGAUUCCAAUGUUCCCCUGCCUUUGUCAGUUUCAUUGUGUGUAUGUAGUUUACUUUCCUCUUUAUAAGAUACAGAUAUGCAAUAGAGGUAUUGGGGCCAAGUAAUGAGGCUGAGCUACUAUGAAGCAGAUUAUUGAAUACUAAAGGUGUUUUCAUAGGUGUGGAAGGAUGGAAGAAAGGUGUUUUAUUAGGUGUGGAAGGAUGGAAGAAAGGAGACCAUGAGGAUUAGUCUGAGAAAGGAAAUGGACUAACAUCAAGGAAACAGCCACUAUGUGUAAGAGAUAGUAUAUAUUUCAGUGUGUAUUUUAUGUAGCAAAUCUUUGUGAAAUUCAACUGUUAUUAUCUCCAUUUUGUAGAUGAGGAAACUGACCAAAGACAUUACGUAUCUUGAAUGAAAUCAAACACAUAAGAACUUAGAUUUGCACCCUUUACUCUGACCCUCAAAUCCAUGUUUUUCAUCACUUCAGCAAACACUUUAUACAAAGAGCCAUAAAGACUGUAGUUAACAAGAUGUCCACAAACACACAAGGCAGUGUCACUUCAUUUCUGCUUCUGAGAGCCACCCUGCAGCCCACCUACUUGCCUUUGGUUCUCGCCACACCUAAUUAUUCCUUCUAUGAUUGAACUGCUAGGCCAAUAGGUAGCCCUUUUGAGGACAACGUUAAGAAAGCUUGGGAGAGAAGUUAGUAAACUAUCCUCUAGUAUCCACUCACAUUUAUCUUUGAGAUGUUAAUAUAUAAGUCUUUUAAUGUACACAAUUUUCUCCAAGUAAACAGCAAAAUGACUGAGUGAUCGGAAUCAACCUAUUUUCUGAAGGAGAACAGUAGUUAACAUUUUUUCUCUCAUUUGUUUUUUGCUCAAUUUUAGUUAGCACUGUGCUCAGAAUUUCACAUAGAUUAUCUUAUUAAAUCAUAAAAUGAAUACUAUGUGUUAUAUACUAUUUACCCAUUUUACAAGUGAGAGAUCUGAGACUUAGUAAGAUUAAUAUAUGUAGAUGAUAAUUCCAGAAGCUUUGUCAAAGAAGCCCCAUUAAAUGCAAGCAAAAGAAAUAGGUAUUAAUCAAGCAACUACUUGUGAAAUCCAUAUUCUUUUAUCAGGAUAAUAUCUAGCAUGUAUAAGAAUUCAGAGACAUAAAUUAAGGAAAAUUCAGAGUAAUUGAUAAAAAAUAUCCUUUGAUACAGCAGAAUAAAUGAAUUAUUAUAACCCAUUUUAAAAAAUCAUUUCAGCUAGUAGGUUCAUUAUAAACAUUAAGACUUCCUGGUUGGUGAAGCAGGGUACCUUUCCCUGUGAAAAUCAAAUGAUAUUUAAUGUUAAAGCACUUUGUAAUAUGUUGAGUCCAAAUAAACAUUUAGGAAAUUAUUAUUGUAUAUAUAUGUGAGCCACAGUUAACUUGAUGAGAUCUUGAACUUUCCUUUUUUGAAAUAUUAUACUUAGAAAAAAUUAUCAAACUUUUGGAAAAGAAUAGAAGUUUUGUACUUGAUGUAAGGUAGUAUGUAAUUAAUUUCAGUAGGAAUUUAUGAAAGAUUUGGCAGUGAGCAGAGAAUCUUACCAAAUGAAUUAUGGUUUUAUUUUAAGCCUAUUACUUAUCUGCCAAGAAAAUAAUUUCAAUCAUAUAUAUAUGAUUGAAUAUAUAUAUAUAUUUAUGUUUAUUUUCAUUUCUCUAUUAUACAUGAAUCUGUCAUCUAGAGAUAUUUUCAUGAUAUUAGUGUAGCUGUCUAAUAGUUUCAACAACAGAAGCUUCACAUUUGUGUUUAAUAAUUUGUUAUUGUUGGUAAUACAAUAACAACAGAAUUGUCCAACAUAAUUUUAUAAAUUAUGAUUUUAAAUGAAAUUUCUUUUUGAGUAGUAACAGGUUUAUCAUCUUUUUUUCAAUCCAAGUAAUGUGAUACCCAGUCCAGCUAGGGAAGAUGAAGACAAAGGAUGGGUUCUGAAGAGGUAGUCAAAGCCAGAGUGACAGAAAUAUUGGACACUUUGUCCUGAAUUAGAGACUGUAGUUUUAGAAAUCAGAUUUACAAUUGCUAAGACUGGAUUUUCUUCCCACUUCCCUCAGUUCAAGAUAUAUUGACAUGAAACAUUAUGUUAGUUUAGAGGAAGAGAUCAAAAUAGCAGAGAACUGGGACCCAGAAAUUAUCCCCUCCCAGAAACACACCUAAAAUGCAUCUACAUGAGAAACAGUUCUCACUGAAAACUAACUGGACACUGGUAGGAAUACUCUUACACAUCUAAGACUAUAAGAAAGUUCCACAGGGAAUCUGGUAAGAAGGAAAGAGAAAGAUCAGUUUGGCACCUUCGCUAAUGAGAGGGCACUCAAAACAGAAGGGGGAUUACAUGGACAGAGAUGUUCCCUUGUUGAGUGAGCAUUUUGACUAUGUAUGGGAAGCCCUAGAUCUGAGGUCUGACCCCUGCCAAGUGCUAGCACUGGCUCUUCCUGCUCUGUCACCUAGAUGUACACCAUAGUGAGGGCAGCAGCAAGUGAAGGGAGAGCUCAACUGGGAGGGGGGGAGGUGGCACAGACCCAGAAUAUCUGAUCAUGACAAGGACAACUGCUAUUGGUGCUUACUCAGACAGUACAUUAGAAACAGUCUGAUCACUGAAUAUAGCCCUGGACCAUGCCCACACCCAUACCUGGUGCCCAUACCCGUCCCUCCUGCAAUGGUACUACUCCGCCCUGGAACAAAAAUGCUGGUGCUAGGAUAGAGCACCCACUUAAUGGGAAUGAAGCCCAGCAUAUAAACAACUCUCAGGACUUCUGCUCAGCAAUUUGGGACCUAAGUGCACCAUGAUAAGGCAGUGACAGCCACUGAAAAGAAAACAAGCCCAAGCCCUUGCAUAGGUUGAUCUCCCUUUAGCCACUCAAUCUCCAGUACCACAACCAAUGAAGGUAAUAGCUGAAUAGUUGCCUGCAUACCCUGGGGAAAGAUGUGAUUUGUGUUCAUAUCAAAUCCUCCCACCAAAGCCAGUGAGAAAAUGUGGCCUGGAUAGAAAUGCUCUCAAACAAGGACACCCAUUCCAAACUGCAAUAGGUAACUGUUUCACCUAAUUUCACAGGGACAAAGAAAGUUAAACAAAGUGAGAAGACAGGAAUUCAUUUCAAUUGUAAGAAAAAGAAACCCCUGAAAAAACAAAUAAUUAAACAAAAGUAAACAAUUUACCAGAUAAAUAAUUCAAAGCAUUAGUAAUAAGAAUGCUAACUGAAUUAGGAAGGCAAAUAGAUGAACACAGAAUUUUAACAAGGAAUUAAAAUAUGAAAAAGAACCAGUCAGAAUUGAAAAUUACAAUAAAGUAAAAUGAAAAACACACUAGAAAGAAUUAACAGCAGACUAGGUGAUACAGAAGAA
rnacentral:lncRNA from 1 species